GCCGAAGUGGCGGAAUUGGCAGACGCACUUGACUCAAAAUCAAGCGUAUACCCAUACGUGCCGGUUCGAGUCCGGCCUUCGGCACCA
rnacentral:tRNA from 1 species